rfam:Candida tenuis ATCC 10573 unplaced genomic scaffold CANTEscaffold_00006, whole genome shotgun sequence.
GGUGCGGUGGCUCAAUUGGCAGAGCUUUGGUUUCCAACACCAAGGGUUGCAGGUUCAAGUCCUGUCCGUGCCA